ensembl:lncRNA
CUCAGGAACGUUCAUAGAUUUAAACAGUAUGUUUUAGAUUAUAUACCACACGUAGGUAUUUAUACAGAUUUACAUAUGUCUUGAAAAUAACUGCGGUUAACAAGCUCUGACAAUCAUCAUUAUUUGUUAACCGUUUCACUACCAGGACUUGCUAUAAUUUCUAGCAGUGGCUCAGGCUACGAUCGGCAGAACAGGGGAACUGGAGGGAGCGCUGCUGUUUCCUUUCCCCGUGCACCAUCUAUGGGCUUCGUGGGCAAGAAGCUCCCUCCUGUGGAAAUGUAUGGUUUUGCAGAAGGACGCAGACAAAUGUUGGAAUGAUCUCAACUCAAUGUUUUCUAAUGGAGCCUCGAAGUCUACUUGAAAGCCACAGACUUGCGUUGAACAAGCCAUGUCAACAGGAUGUGUUAGCUCAGUGUGUACUUCAGGGGCUUUCUUACUGUGUGACAACCACACGAGGUAAGUGCUCUACUUGCAGUGCAGUUGUUUUGUAUAAAAAGAAAAAGACCUGAGCUGCCAUUGGUAGUCAUUGCUCUAUAUAGAAAUACUUCCUGGCCAGAAAUUGCUGGAUACCAACAAGCAGUGUGAGGGAGUAACCGGGAUAAUUCAGGACAAAAAUGUAAGAGAGACCAGAAAAAAAAACUGGGCACAGGAAAGGGAAUGUAGGGAACAGUGCCCGUGUAAACAGGCAGGGUGUGUCUUCUGGUAUGCUUUUUUCCUAACAGUGGAGAACCUGGGGCUGACGCUGACAUGAAGCAUGCCAGUAAAUGUAACACCUGAAGAAAGAGUACACAUGCGAGUCACAAAAGCUUUUGUAAGCUAAAAUUGUUUGCUUUAGCUGCAGGAAGCAGAACUGUGGC